UGGGUGGGAUGCCGCCGACGAUCACUGGCUAGGUGGGAUGCCGCCGACGAUCACUGGCUAGGUGGGAUGCAGCCGAAGAUCUCCACCGCGGCCCCUACCGCCGGCAUGCUUAGCGAGAUCUCCACCUCCCCCCUCCCCCGCCUCCUUCCCACCACUUACAUGUCCCGGCCGCGCGCCCUUGCCUCACAGCCGAUCCAAGAUCCCCGGCGUCGGUCCUUCCUGGUGCUCCUCUUGGCCCUGCGGCGGCGCCUGGUGCAUGUGCUGCGGCACGCCGCUACACACCGGGGAGGAGGGGUUCCCUGGCUACGUCGAGCCCGCCACCUACGACCUGGUUGAACUGGCAGCAUAUAUUAACUUUGUAAGAACCCUUGGCUAAAUCCAGAUAUCAAUACUUUAUUCAUUGAUCAUACUUGCUCUCCUCCAAAUGGAGCAGUACAUCACCUAUGUCUGCAGCGUUGGCAGCUGUUCCAAAGGCUGGUGCCGCGUACCCACCACUCAGUGGGUCAUCUUCCAUUUCAGCCUCCUCCUGCUGGUCCAUGUUUAGCUGGUUGGGUGACAAAUGAUGAUGUUUCAUCAUCUAUUCAGUCUGCUGGUGUGGCCGCAUUAUCGAUGUCUGUUCCGCCAAAUCAAGGUAUAGCCUAAACAGGUGCCUUUCUGUUGAAAUACAUGGAGCGGCUCGGUUUACACAUCUUUGCACCAAAAUUGACAUGGCGCGGCAAGAUCAAUGACACAGGUCCUGGUCUUCAUGGCGAGGCAUGAUUGGAGUUUGCUAUGAA